CAGCAGCCGCGGGAAUACGUAGGGUGCAAGCGUUAAUCGGAAUUACUGGGCGUAAAGCGUGCGCAGGCGGUUAUAUAAGACAGAUGUGAAAUCCCCGGGCUCAACCUGGGAACUGCAUUUGUGACUGUAUAGCUAGAGUACGGCAGAGGGGGAUGGAAUUCCGCGUGUAGCAGUGAAAUGCGUAGAUAUGCGGAGGAACACCGAUGGCGAAGGCAAUCCCCUGGGCCUGUACUGACGCUCAUGCACGAAAGCGUGGGUAGCAAACAGGAUUAGAGACCCCCGUAGUCCCUGUCUCUUAUAC
rnacentral:rRNA from 1 species